rnacentral:rRNA from 1 species
GUGGGCAACCUGCCCUGAAGCGGGGGAUAACAUCUGGAAACAGGUGCUAAUACCGCAUAACAACGAAAACCACAUGGUUUUCGUUUCAAAGAUGGUUUCGGCUAUCACUUCAGGAUGGGCCCGCGGUGCAUUAGCUAGUUGGUAAGGUAACGGCUUACCAAGGCAAUGAUGCAUAGCCGAGUUGAGAGACUGAUCGGCCACAAUGGAACUGAGACACGGUCCAUACUCCUACGGGAGGCAGCAGUAGGGGAUCUUCCACAAUGGGCGCAAGCCUGAUGGAGCAACACCGCGUGAGUGAAGAAGGGUUUCGGCUCGUAAAGCUCUGUUGUUGGAGAAGAACGUGCGUGAGAGUAACUGUUCACGCAGUGACGGUAUCCAACCAGAAAGUCACGGCUAACUACGUGCCAGCAGCCGCGGUAAUACGUAGGUGGCAAGCGUUAUCCGGAUUUAUUGGGCGUAAAAGCGAGCGCAGGCGGUUGCUUAGGUCUGAUGUGAAAGCCUUCGGCUUUAAACCGAAGAAAGGGCAUCGGAAACCGGGCGACUUGAGUGCAAAAGAGGACAGUUGGAACUCCAUGUGUAGCGGUGGAA